rnacentral:lncRNA from 1 species
AUGAGGCUGUGCGCGUGUGUGCAGCCAACUAUGGGCAGAAGUGGGGAGCUUCUGGGUGAGAGCCGUAAACGUCUGUCUGGAAAGGCUCCGCACAGGUGGGAGGGCGAUGUGGCAAUAGCACUUUGUCUGUGGACUAGGGCACAGAGCUCGCCACUGGUGUCUCCUGUCUCUAAGAAGAGCCUAAGUCCAGGAGAAGGUGGCAACGUGCCCCCAUGUUUCUGUCGAUGGAGCAUCCAGGGCAGCCACGUCUGCCUCGGCGGCAGGGACUCCGAAACCACCACUGAAGCUCGGUUGCUAGCGAGGAGCGUCCGUCCUAACAUCUGUCCGUUUGUCUGUGCCGCAGCUGCAGGUAAGCACUGCCUCCCCACCCCCUCUAACCUCUGCCCGUCGGGAUAACCAACCCCCAUCCUUAAAGGGCUGCUCUAAUUCAGGUCCACCGAGUCGGCGCGUGCCCUCUCCAGCCCCAGCGCUCAGUGCCUACGCUGCCCCUGCUGCCCAGCCAGAGGGUCUCAGGGGCCCGUAGAGGCCUACCUUCACAAUAUCACACUCACUCCUUUUUUCUCGGUUCUCUUCUUGUGGCUUCCAUUUGACCCUCAUUCCCAUCAUUUCCCCCCUCAUCUGUGCCUCAUGCACACCCUUUUGGCUCCCCCAACACCCACACACAAGCUCUCUUAUCAGGACCCAUAUCAUAUUCAUCCCUUUACAAAUUGUACACCCACUCUUUGUGUAUACAUAUGUCAGGUAUCCCACAGAGCUCUAGUCCCCUCAGGUUACUUACACUGCAGGCACACUCACUCCCUCUUUCACUCACCACUCAGUGCUUCUGAAUUACAUACACUCCCAGGAGACAAUGACUGGCCCACGGUUGCUCCCAGUUUACAAACUUAACCUGAACCUGGCAAAAUUCCUGGAGAAUUUCCCACUUGUAGACCAAAUAAGGUAGGGCCAUGGGACUCAGCUCCCCACCCCGACUGGGCUCUGAAGCUGGAGAAUGUUCAUUUGGGGGCAAAAUUGAGCACAUGGGUGCCUAUGUUUGCCAGGCAGGUCUGAGCUGUUGCUGCUUUGGGGAUGGGGAGCCCGGAGGAGGCCUGGGAGAAGAGUCCAGCAUGGGCCAGACUCUUGCAAGCUCUGUGAACAUUAAAGGGGAGCCCUGUGCUUGGGGUUCCUAAAGCCCUGUUGACGCUGGGCUCUCCCUGUACCAGGCCUGGGCUUCAGUUCCUGGCAGGAGAAAUCUAUGACAGCCCUGGCCAGUGACUCAUCUUACAUCUCACUCAGGCCCAUAGCAGAGAGUCCAGGCAGUUGAUGCCUGCUGGUCUAUGCAGGCUUCCUCCUCCCACCUCAACCUCUCUACCCCCAGUGAUUCAGAGCAGAACUUCCCCGGUUCCUCUUAUCCUUU